CCUACGGGUGGCAGCAGUGGGGAAUAUUUGACAAUGGGGGCAACCCUGAUCCAGCCAUGCCGCGUGUGUGAAGAAGGCCCUCGGGUUGUAAAGCACUUUCAGUGAGGAAGAACGCCUGGUGGUUAAUACCCAUCAGGAAAGACAUCACUCACAGAAGAAGCACCGGCUAACUCCGUGCCAGCAGCCGCGGUAAUACGGAGGGUGCGAGCGUUAAUCGGAAUUACUGGGCGUAAAGCGCGCGUAGGUGGCUUGAUAAGCCGGUUGUGAAAGCCCCGGGCUCAAACUGGGAACGGCAUCCGGAACUGUCAAGCUAGAGUGCAGGAGAGGAAGGUAGAAUUCCCGGUGUAGCGGUGAAAUGCGUAGAGAUCGGGAGGAAUACCAGUGGCGAAGGCGGCCUUCUGGACUGACACUGACACUGAGGUGCGAAAGCGUGGGUAGCAAACAGGAUUAGAUACCCCGGUAGUC
rnacentral:rRNA from 1 species